AAUCAUGCUUGGAGAUGUCGAUGGAACGGGCUGGCUGUUGAUGCUUCUGUGUCCGACCUGUCGUGGGACGGGAUUGAAACUCUACGAAGAAAGGUAUUUGAUAAAAUACCUGUAAAACCAUUGCUUUUGUUUCACAUACAGAUGGGUUUUGAAGGUGCAGUCCAGGUGUUUGUGGAAAUGCCUCAAUGGCGAACUCGGCUCAAUCUUAGCUUAAACUCGGCCCGAGCUGCUGACCAAACCGAGCCGAGUUCAAGCUGAGGUCAGCCAGUGGCUGAGCCGAGUUAAGCAAAGGCCAGCUCACCUCAGUUCGACUCGAUGUACACCCCUAGCUAUGAUUCUAGGGGUUGAAAUUGGUUGGUUCAGGCCAGAUGAGGACCAGCCUGAGCCCGACCCAUUUACUAAACAUGCACUCAUUACCAUGUGGUUAACCCGGCCUACUUCAAAUUCAUCAAGCUCAAGCCCAACCCAUCCAAGAACCAUUCAAUUGUAGAGAGGUAGGCUCGACUGACCAGACCUGACCUGCCACAACCUAGUUCAGAAUGGAAUAUGAGGCUAAGAGCAUGCACAGCCUAGCCCAUUCGAAGUAUGCACAUGCAUAUAUAUGCAUUUUUUUUUUUUUAUUGUUCUUCUCAUGUUGUUAUUAUGAUUAUUGGGUUUGGUUGGAUUGGGUCAUUUGGCCCGAUGCAAGAUGGCAUAUUCAGGUGGGACGAGUCAAGUCAAGUUAGGUUCAAUUUAAACCUGAUUUAGAGCCCGUUUGAUUUGCCAUAAUUAUAUGUAAAUUAGAGGAAUUGUGUAAUGAAUAUAAAUUACUUUAUUUGUCCGCUGACAUUAGUUGCAUUUGAUUGUUGAUUCUUGUGUUUGGUUCAUCCAUGUUAAAAUUGUAAUAAUGACAUUUUUACAUUAGUUCAACGUUAAAUCAUCACCAAAAUUAUACAUUAA